rnacentral:rRNA from 1 species
AUUGAACGCUGGCGGCAGGCUUAACACAUGCAAGUCGAGCGGAGCGAAGGUGCUUGCACCUUAGCUUAGCGGCGGACGGGUGAGUAAUGCUUAGGAAUCUGCCUAUUAGUGGGGGACAACGUUUCGAAAGGAACGCUAAUACCGCAUACGUCCUACGGGAGAAAGCAGGGGAUCUUCGGACCUUGUGCUAAUAGAUGAGCCUAAGUCGGAUUAGCUAGUUGGUGGGGUAAAGGCCUACCAAGGCGACGAUCUGUAGCGGGUCUGAGAGGAUGAUCCGCCACACUGGGACUGAGACACGGCCCAGACUCCUACGGGAGGCAGCAGUGGGGAAUAUUGGACAAUGGGCGAAAGCCUGAUCCAGCCAUGCCGCGUGUGUGAAGAAGGCCUUUUGGUUGUAAAGCACUUUAAGCGAGGAGGAGGCUCUUUUGGUUAAUACCCAAGAUGAGUGGACGUUACUCGCAGAAUAAGCACCGGCUAACUCUGUGCCAGCCGCCGCAGUAA